AGAGUUUGAUCCUGGCUCAGGAUGAACGCUAGCGACAGGCUUAACACAUGCAAGUCGAGGGGCAGCGGUGGUGAAGGCUUGCCUUUACCAGCCGGCGACCGGCGCACGGGUGAGUAACACGUAUGCAACCUGCCUGCCACAGCCGGAUAAUCGGGAGAAAUUCCGUCUAAUACGGCAUAAUGCAUCGACGGGACAUCCUGUCGGUGCCAAAGGUUGAUUCCGGUGGCGGAUGGGCAUGCGUCGCAUUAGUUAGUUGGCGGUGUAACGGACCACCAAGACGACGAUGCGUAGGGGUUCUGAGAGGAAGGUCCCCCACACUGGUACUGAGACACGGACCAGACUCCUACGGGAGGCAGCAGUGAGGAAUAUUGGUCAAUGGGCGGGAGCCUGAACCAGCCAAGUCGCGUGAGGGAUGACGGCCCUAUGGGUUGUAAACCUCUUUUGCCGGGGAGCAAAGUGCCGCACGUGUGCGGUUUGGAGAGUACCCGGAGAAAAAGCAUCGGCUAACUCCGUGCCAGCAGCCGCGGUAAUACGGAGGAUGCGAGCGUUAUCCGGAUUUAUUGGGUUUAAAGGGUGCGUAGGCGGACGCUUAAGUCAGCGGUAAAAUUGCGGGGCUCAACCUCGUCGAGCCGUUGAAACUGGGUGCCUUGAGUGGGCGAGAAGUACGCGGAAUGCGUGGUGUAGCGGUGAAAUGCAUAGAUAUCACGCAGAACUCCGAUUGCGAAGGCAGCGUACCGGCGCCCAACUGACGCUGAAGCACGAAGGCGUGGGUAUCGAACAGGAUUAGAUACCCUGGUAGUCCACGCAGUAAACGAUGAAUGCUAGUUGUCCGGGGCGAUUGAGUUCUGGGUGAUACAGCGAAAAGCGUUAAGCAUUCCACCUGGGGAGUACGCCGGCAACGGUGAAACUCAAAGGAAUUGACGGGGGCUUGCACAAGCGGAGGAACAUGUGGUUUAAUUCGAUGAUACGCGAGGAACCUUACCCGGGCUCAAACGCAGGAGGGAUGUUUUUGAAAGGAGGCAGCCAGCAAUGGUCUCCUGCGAGGUGCUGCAUGGUUGUCGUCAGCUCGUGCCGUGAGGUGUCGGCUUAAGUGCCAUAACGAGCGCAACCCCUACCUACAGUUGCCAUCGCGUGAUGGCGGGCACUCUGUGGGGACUGCCUGCGCAAGCAGUGAGGAAGGCGGGGAUGACGUCAAAUCAGCACGGCCCUUACGUCCGGGGCGACACACGUGUUACAAUGGCAGGUACAGCGGGAAGCCACCCGGCGACGGGGCGCGGAACCCGAAAACCUGUCUCAGUUCGGAUUGGAGUCUGCAACCCGACUCCAUGAAGCUGGUUUCGCUAGUAAUCGCGCAUCAGCCACGGCGCGGUGAAUACGAACCCGGGCCUUGCACUCACCGCCCGUCA
rnacentral:rRNA from 1 species